rnacentral:rRNA from 10 species
AUGCAUGUAUAAGUACAUACUUACACAUAGUGAAACCGCGAAUGGCUCAUUAAAUCAGUUAUGGUUCCUUAGAUCGUAAAAAUCCACUUGGAUAACUGUGGUAAUUCUAGAGCUAAUACAUGCAUUAAAACACUGACCUUAUGGAAGUGUGCUUUUAUUAGAUCAAAACUAAUAUGAACUUCGGUUCGUUUGUUUGGUGACUCUGGAUAACUUUGGGCUGAUUGCAUGGCCUUGUGCCGGCAACGUAUCUUUCAAAUGUCUGCCCUAUCAACUUUCGAAGGUAGAUGAUAUGCCUACCUUGGUUGUAACGGGUAACGGGGAAUUAGGGUUCCAUUCCGGAGAGGGCGCAUGAGAAACGGCGACCACA